rnacentral:misc_RNA from 1 species
AAUUUUGUUUUUCUUUGCACAUUCAUGUUCUUUUUCCUGAUAGUGUGAACUGCUUUCUUUAUUAAAAAAAACAUGAAUGUGCAAAGAAAAACAAAAUUUUUUUCAAAGAGGUGGAGACAAUCUACACAAUUUUUGUGUCAUAACGAUUACGAAACUCUUGUAAAUUUGAGGUGGUCAAUACUAAACUCCUCAUUCUUUCUGUGUAGGUAAUGAUCAGGGAAAAAACCAAACUACUGCAUGCAUAAACUGUGCCAUAUCAGAUGAUAAAUUAUGAUAGACUGCUACUUUAUAAUGAUGCAUUAUUGGGUAAGGCUGAUGCAAGCAGCAUAUGAUUGAAGUACUGUUAGAGCUUGCUCUGUGAUAGCUCUAUUCCUUGCUCGCUUCACCCAAUCACCCGCUAUCUCCUCUGCCACGCUGCCUCUGAGUCCUUCUUGAAGAGCCUCAGCUGCUUCAGCAAGCUUUCCCUCAGCUAGGAAACUCUCAACUCUACUAAUAACAGAUUCAAUCCCAUCACCAGAUGGAUCAACUUCCUUAAACCUCAACCAGGAUGCAAUGCGUGCCAUAGCAUGUGCCAAUAUGCCACCACCACCAGGUGGGAUCAGAAUGUAGUGCCGUAGCGUCCCUUUCAAGGCAUUGAACUUCUGAUUCAAUUGUAACAAAGUAUCAGUACCAUGAUAUCGAGUUUCUUCGGGGAGGGUUGAUAAAACCAAAUGUACAAGAGAGUCUUUAUUGAUGCCUUCUAGAUAGGCAUUCAGAGAAUCUAGCUCUUGCUGAAUUGGAAGUCCUUUGGAAAGUGCAUCUUCUAAUGCAAGUGCUCCCAAAGNAAAAGCAAGCUUGUGAACAGAAUGAAUUUGACGAGCCUCUUCAGAUCGUGCAUAGAAUGCCAUACACAAAGCAUUAAUAUUGAGAUUUGCUUCAGCCAUUUUUUCAAUCUGUGCUGCCUUCUCACUCGCGAUUGCUGCAGCUAAUUCUGCUUUUGCCAGGUCCUGAAACUUUUUCAGAUUCAUUUCCGCUUCAUUUUUCUUCUGUUCAAGUUCCAUCUUGAGUUUUUCUUCCAUCUUUUCCUGAAGUGUUCUGAUGGCAGCUGCUGCUUUUGCUCUCUCUCUUUUUAUUUCCUUAUCAAGUAUUGCUGCCUCUUCAGCACGCAUAAGUUCCCUAGCUCUUAAAUCUCUCAAUUCCUUUUCGUACUUCUCCUUCAAUGCUUUUUUCUCCUCAGCAAAGGCAUGGGCAUCUAACUCAGCUUGCCUCUUUUCAGCUGCAUGAAUUGCUUCAAGAAAACUCAUAACCAUCUUUCCAUCUUUUGUUAUAUAGCUAUCAUUCAAUUCCUCUACGGCACUAACAAGAGCCUCUUCUUCUGGCCCCUCCAUUGCAAUGCUUUCUUCAGCCCUAUCCUUGAGAUUGUAUGCAUCAAGUAAACUUGCUGCUUCCGUACCUUUACCCACUGCAGCCUCUGAUCUGUCUUCUGUAGCGAGAUGCUGCGGCACUGUUUUUGUUUCACCCUCUUCAGGAACCAACUUGACCCGAGUUUGUUCUUGUGUAACUUGAACUCCCUCACUCGUUUCACUAGUAGUAUUUGAUUCAGAUUUUUCCUUGACCUUGUCAAGACUAUGUUCAGUAUUUAUACUUUGAGAAAAUUCUGGCACUUGUUUCUCCUUAACAGCAAUUGAUUCAUCUUCUGUUACUACCACAUCAGAUUUUUCUUGAAUGUAAGACUGGUUUAUACCUGGUGUUUCCUUCAAGGCUUCAUGAUGAUGAAUGUCUGUCUGUGAUUCAAUCCUCCCCUCAGCUUGAACCUGAGAAAGAUCUCUGUGAGUUCCAUCCUUGUGCUUAGUUUCAACAUGAGGAAG